rnacentral:rRNA from 1 species
AACGAACGCUGGCGGCAUGCCUAACACAUGCAAGUCGAACGAGACCUCCGGGUCUAGUGGCGCACGGGUGGGUAACGCGUGGGAACCUGCCCUUAGGUUCGGAAUAACUCCCCGAAAGGGGUGCUAAUACCGGUUAAUGUCUUCGGACCAAAGAUUUAUCGCUUUUGGAUGGGCCCGCGUUGGAUUAGCUAGUUGGUAGGGUAAAAGCCUACCAAGGCGACGAUCCAUAGCUGGUCUGCGAGGCUGAUCAGCAACACUGGGGCUGAGGCACGGCCCAGACUCGGACGGGGGACAGCGGUGGGGAGUAUUGGACAAUGAGCGAAAGCCUAGUCCAGCAGUGCCGGGGGAGUGAUGAAGGCCUUAGUGUUGUAAAGCUCUUUGACCCGGGAUGAUAAUGACAGUACCGGGAGAAUAAGCACCGGCUAACUCCGCG